ACCUGGGUGGCUCAGUUGGUUGAGUGUCUGACUUUGGCUCAGGUCAUGAUCUCGCCGUUCGUGGAUUCAAGCCCCACGUCAGGCU
rfam:Felis catus isolate Cinnamon breed Abyssinian chromosome B3, whole genome shotgun sequence.